rnacentral:rRNA from 1 species
CAAGUAAUUAAGUGCAUGUGGUGGAUGCCUUGGCAGUCAGAGGCGAUGAAAGACGUGAUAGCCUGCGAAAAGCUCCGGGGAGGCGGCAAAUAUCCUUUGAUCCGGAGAUGUCUGAAUGGGGGAACCCACCUACUUUAAGGUAGGUAUUGCAACAUGAAUACAUAGUGUUGCAAGGCGAACGAGGGGAAGUGAAACAUCUCAGUACCCUUAGGAAAAGAAAUCAAUUGAGAUUCCCUCAGUAGCGGCGAGCGAACGGGGAUCAGCCCAUUAAGUUAUGUGUGUUUUAGUGGAACGCUCUGGGAAGUGCGAACGUAGAGGGUGAUAUUCCCGUACACGAAAGGGCACACAUAAUGAUGACGAGUAGGGCGAGGCACGUGAAACCUUGUCUGAAUAUGGGGGGACCAUCCUCCAAGGCUAAAUACUCCUGACUGACCGAUAGUGAACCAGUACCGUGAGGGAAAGGCGAAAAGAACCCCUGUGAGGGGAGUGAAAUAGAUCCUGAAACCGCAUGCAUACAAGCAGUGGGAGCACCUUCGUGGUGUGACUGCGUACCUUUUGUAUAAUGGGUCAGCGACUUAUAUUCAGUAGCGAGGUUAACCGUAUAGGGGAGCCGUAGAGAAAUCGAGUCUUAAUAGGGCGUUUAGUUGCUGGGUAUAGACCCGAAACCAGGCGAUCUAUCCAUGAGCAGGUUGAAGGUUGGGUAACACUAACUGGAGGACCGAACCCACUGUCGUUGAAAAGCCAGGGGAUGACUUGUGGAUAGGGGUGAAAGGCUAAUCAAGCCUGGUGAUAGCUGGUUCUCCCCGAAAGCUAUUUAGGUAGCGCCUCGGACGAAUACCAUAGGGGGUAGAGCACUGUUUCGGCUAGGGGGUCAUCCCGACUUACCAAACCGAUGCAAACUCCGAAUACCUAUGAGUACUAUCCGGGAGACAGACUGCGGGUGCUAACGUCCGUAGUCAAGAGGAAAACAAUCCAGACCGCCAGCUAAGGCCCCAAAAUCAUAGUUAAGUGGGAAACGAUGUGGGAAGGCAUAGACAGCUAGGAGGUUGGCUUAGAAGCAGCCACCCUUUAAAGAAAGCGUAAUAGCUCACUAGUCGAGUCGGCCUGCGCGGAAGAUGUAACGGGGCUAAAACUAUGUGCCGAAGCUGCGGAUGUAUACUUUGUAUACGUGGUAGGGGAGCGUUCUGUAAGCCGAUGAAGGUGUGUUGAGAAGCAUGCUGGAGGUAUCAGAAGUGCGAAUGCUGACGUGAGUAACGACAAAACGGGUGAAAAACCCGUUCGCCGAAAGACCAAGGGUUCCAGUCCAACGUUAAUCGGGGCUGGGUGAGUCGACCCCUAAGGCGAGGCCGAAAGGCGUAGUCGAUGGGAAAAUGGUUAAUAUUCCAUUACUUCUGUGUAAUGCGAUGAGAGGACGGAGAAGGCUAAAUCAGCCUGGCGUUGGUUGUCCAGGUGAAAGGAUGUAGGCAUGUAUCUUAGGCAAAUCCGGGGUACUCUAUGCUGAGAUCUGAUAGCAAGCUGUACUUGUACAGCGAAGUGGUUGAUGCCAUGCUUCCAGGAAAAGUCUCUAAGCUUCAGUUACACAGGAAUCGUACCCGAAACCGACACAGGUGGUCAGGUCGAGUAGACCAAGGCGCUUGAGAGAACUCUGCUGAAGGAACUAGGCAAAAUGGUACCGUAACUUCGGGAGAAGGUACGCUGUUGUUGGUGAUGGAACUCGCUUCCUGAGCUGACGACAGCCGCAGAAACCAGGCCGCUGCAACUGUUUAUUAAAAACAUAGCACUCUGCAAACACGAAAGUGGACGUAUAGGGUGUGAUGCCUGCCCGGUGCUGGAAGGUUAAUUGAUGGGGUUAGCGUAAGCGAAGCUCUUGAUCGAAGCCCCAGUAAACGGCGGCCGUAACUAUAACGGUCCUAAGGUAGCGAAAUUCCUUGUCGGGUAAGUUCCGACCUGCACGAAUGGCAUAAUGAUGGCGGCGCUGUCUCCAGCAGAGGCUCAGUGAAAUCGAAAUCGCUGUGAAGAUGCAGUGUACCCGCGGCUAGACGGAAAGACCCCGUGAACCUUUACUGCAGCUUGACACUGAACUUUGACCUUACUUGUGUAGGAUAGGUGGGAGGCUUUGAAGCUGGAACGCUAGUUCCAGUGGAGCCGUCCUUGAAAUACCACCCUGGUAAUGUUGAGGUUCUAACUCUGUCCCGUGAUCCGGGACGAGGACCGUGUCUGGUGGGUAGUUUGACUGGGGCGGUCUCCUCCUAAAGAGUAACGGAGGAGUACGAAGGUGCGCUCAGCGUGGUCGGAAAUCACGCGUAGAGUAUAAAGGCAAAAGCGCGCUUAACUGCGAGACCCACAAGUCGAGCAGGUACGAAAGUAGGUCUUAGUGAUCCGGUGGUUCUGUAUGGAAGGGCCAUCGCUCAACGGAUAAAAGGAACUCUGGGGAUAACAGGCUGAUACCGCCCAAGAGUUCAUAUCGACGGCGGUGUUUGGCACCUCGAUGUCGGCUCAUCUCAUCCUGGGGCUGAAGCAGGUCCCAAGGGUAUGGCUGUUCGCCAUUUAAAGAGGUACGCGAGCUGGGUUUAGAACGUCGUGAGACAGUUCGGUCCCUAUCUACCGUGGGCGCUGGAAAUUUGAGAGGAUCUGCUCCUAGUACGAGAGGACCAGAGUGGACGAACCUCUGGUGUACCGGUUGUGACGCCAGUCGCAUCGCCGGGUAGCUAUGUUCGGAAGGGAUAACCGCUGAAAGCAUCUAAGCGGGAAGCCUACCUCAAGAUAAGAUUUCCCUAGGACUUUAUGUCCUCUAAAGAGCCGUUCGAGACUAGGACGUUGAUAGGUUGGAUGUGGAAGCAUAGUGAUAUGUGAAGCUGACCAAUACUAAUUGCUCGUGAGGCUUGACUA